CAGCCGCCACGGUAAAACGGAGGGUGCAAGCGUUACUCGGAAUCACUGGGCGUAAAGGACGCGUAGGCGGAUUAUCAAGUCUCUUGUGAAAUCUAACGGCUUAACCGUUAAACUGCUUGAGAAACUGAUAAUCUAGAGUAAGGGAGAGGCAGAUGGAAUUCUUGGUGUAGGGGUAAAAUCCGUAGAUAUCAAGAAGAAUACCUAUUGCGAAGGCGAUCUGCUGGAACUUAACUGACGCUAAUGCGUGAAAGCGUGGGGAGCAAACAGGAUUAGAUACCCCGGUAGUCCCUGUCUCUUAUAC
rnacentral:rRNA from 1 species